GCAAGGGCAUGGGCCAACGCAUGCCUAUAGUCCCAGCUACCUGGAGGCUGAGGCUGGAGGAUCACCUGAGCUCAGGAGUUCUAGGCUGUAGUGCACUAUGUGGGUUGGGUGUCCACACUAAGUUUGAUAUCAAUAUGGUGACCUCUAAAGAAUGGGGAACCACCAGGUUGCCUAAAGAGGGGAAAACCAUCUCAGCUUGAAACAGGUCAACACUCCAGUGCUGAUUAGUAGUGGGAUUGCACCUGUGAAUAGUCAUUGCACUAUAGCUGAAGUAUCCAGAUCAGAUCCCAUCUCA
rnacentral:SRP_RNA from 1 species